AUGGCCUCUGUGCAGGCUCAGCAGAUGACCAUGCAGGCUAUUGCAAUCCAACAGCAAAUGAUGUCCUCAUUCCCUCCGACGCCAACCGGCCCCAGCUCGCCACCUUCACUUCGUCGCCAGACCACAGAGACUGAACGUUCGCCGUACAGUCCUGCUACAGCUCCACGAAAAAUGAGUCCCACACGCGGCCCCCCUCCUGAGGAUGUGGUCCAGGCCAGUCCAACGAACGCAGAACGCCUGGAUCCCAGCCAUGACAUCAAGGACAUUAUCAAACAGCAUCAACCUGCUGGCACAAGCAUGUUCAGUGGACCUGCUGCUCAGAGGAAAGGUGAUGGAAGGAUGUUUGUAAAGAAGCCAGACCCACACGAUGAAGCCAUGGAGAUCCUCAAAGAUCAGAUGGCAAACCCACCAAAGCCGGUACAAACGCUGAUUGUAUUGAACAUUUACACACCUACGGUCACACACAGGCUCAAAGAGCACCAUUAUUUUUAUUUCAGAGUGUAAAGAAGCCAUCCUCCUUUAAAAAAGGAGAGGCAGGACUCAAAGGUUCCAGGACAAUCAAGUCCCACCCUGCCAGCCCACCGGGCUCAAACACAAACCCAGCUCCUCCUCCAGGUACGUUCCACGAGUCUGAUGUAAAUACGAAGGACAGAAAAAACAGAAUCAAUCUGUGGUGUGUGUGUGUGUGUGUGUGUGUGUGUGUGUGUGAGUGUGUGUGUGUGUGCGUGUGUGUGUGUGUGUGUGUGUGUGUGUGUGUGUGUGUGUGUGUGUGUGUGUGUGUUUCCAGUGUCCAGAGAGUUGCCAGUUGAGGAGGUGAUCAUUCAGACUCAGCUCCACAGCAGGACCAGUGAAGAAUAUUACACCUAUUCAAAUGUUCCCUGGAAACUCUACAUGAGGAAAGAGGUGCAUUUUGGGAAUCCAAUCUGGUUUAUUGCUCAUUAUAAGAUCUGAUCCACCUCAUGCAAGUUCUGACAAGU
rnacentral:lncRNA from 1 species